rnacentral:rRNA from 1 species
AGAUUGAACGCUGGCGGCAUGCCUUACACAUGCAAGUCGAACGGUAGAGUAGCAAUACUUGUGAGUGGCGAACGGGUGAGUAAUAUAUCGGAACGUGCCCAGUCGUGGGGGAUAACGUAGAGAAAUUUACGCUAAUACCGCAUACGAUCUAAGGAUGAAAGCGGGGGACUCGCAAGAGCCUCGCGCGAUUGGAGCGGCUGAUAUCAGAUUAGGUUGUUGGUGAGGUAAAAGCUCACCAAGCCGACGAUCUGUAGCUGGUUUGAGAGAACGACCAGCCACACUGGGACUGAGACACGGCCCAGACUCCUACGGGAGGCAGCAGUGGGAAUUUUGGACAAUGGGCGCAAGCCUGAUCCGAGCAAUGCCGCGUAGCAAGGAAGAAGGCCUUCGGUUAGUAAACGUGACGUUUUGACGGUAACGAAACGGUCGUAGGUUAACGUACCGUCGGACUAAGUGAACGUACCGUAAGAAUAAGCACCGCUAACGACGUGACCAGACACGCCGA